CCUACGGGUGGCUGCAGUGGGGAAUAUUGGACAAUGGGGGCAACCCUGAUCCGGCCAUGCCGCGUGUGUGAAGAAGGCCCUCGGGUUGUAAAGCACUUUCAGUGAGGAAGAACGCCUGGUGGUUAAUACCCAUCAGGAAAGACAUCACUCACAGAAGAAGCACCGGCUAACUCCGUGCCAGCAGCCGCGGUAAUACGGAGGGUGCGAGCGUUAAUCGGAAUUACUGGGCGUAAAGCGCGCGUAGGUGGCUUGAUAAGCCGGUUGUGAAAGCCCCGGGCUCAACCUGGGAACGGCAUCCGGAACUGUCAAGCUAGAGUGCAGGAGAGGAAGGUAGAAUUCCCGGUGUAGCGGUGAAAUGCGUAGAGAUCGGGAGGAAUACCAGUGGCGAAGGCGGCCUUCUGGACUGACACUGACACUGAGGUGCGAAAGCGUGGGUAGCAAACAGGAUUAGAUACCCGAGUAGUC
rnacentral:rRNA from 1 species